rnacentral:rRNA from 1 species
AUGGCGCUCAGGGCCGGAUCUGGGCCUAUGCGGCCUGGUGAUAUGGCACCGAAACAUAAAUCCGGUUGUGCGAAAAGGAAAAAAUGUAAAAGGGAUCUUGCACUUGCUGAAUCACAAAAAGGGGCUCUAAAAAUGUAUUUUCCGGCAACAAGUAGUGUUGAUGUCAAUAAUGAUAAUCAAAUUGAAGAAUCUGAACAUGAUCAAGAUGAUGAUCAUGAUUCAAAUGUUGAUCAUGAGGUCAAUGAACAGUCCUCGGGCCAGGGUCUUGAUGUUAAUAAGGACAAUACGGAGGAGGAAAAUUUGCAGCCUUCACCCGAUGCUCCGAAUAUUGAUGAGCAGGUUGAUUCUCUGUUAUCUCUAUACGAUCCUAGAACAUGGGAUAAUCUUGACAACAGCAAACAGGAUAUUCUAAUUGAAAAGGGGCCUGUGAGAGAAAUGGAUCUGGUGUUCCCAAAGGAUGAUGAGGGUAGACAUUUCUCAUAUUUUCACUACACCAGAAAGUUAGCUAAUGAAGAGGUUAUUCACAGAGAGUGGUUGGUUUACUCUAAAGAGGUUGACAAAGUUUAUUGUUUUUGUUGCAAGUUAUUCAAAUCAAAUCAGAACAGGUCAUUGCUAGCAUCUGAUGGAUUGAGGGACUGGAGACGUAUUAGUGCAAGACUCAAAGAACAUGAGGUUAGUGUUGAACACUUUACCAACAUGAAUACAUGGAAUGAACUAAGGUUGAGGUUAAGCAGAAACAAAACAAUUGAUGAUGAGAUGCAGCAGAAGGUUGCAAAGGAAAAAGAGCGUUGGAGACAGGUAUUGCUCAGGAUAGUUUCUUUAGUGAAGUUUCUUGCAAAACGUAAUUUGGGAUUUCGAGGAACAAAUGAGAAGCUAUUUGAACAUAAUAAUGGCAAUUUUUUGGGCUCAGUUGAAAUGAUUGUUGAAUUUGAUCCGGUGAUGCAAGAACAUAUUAGGCGCAUUCAAAACAAGGAAAUACAUCAUCAUUAUCUUGGCCAUGGUAUUCAGGAUGAGUUGAUCUUACUUCUUGCUGAUUCCGUCAAAAAGUUUAUCUUAAAGACCAUCAAGGAUGCCAAGUAUUUCUCUGUUAUAUUGGACUGUACUCCAGAUGUGAGCCAUGAAGAACAAAUGAAGCUAAUUGUGCAUUAUGUGAAUAUGUCAAGUAACAUUCCAAGAGUCGAGGAGUUUUUCCUAGAGUUUUUAAAGGUUCAUGAUAUAUCAGGAUUAGGGCUUUUUAAUGUGUUGAUGGAUACAUUGGACUCUCUUGAUCUGGACGUUGCUGAUGUAAGAGGGCAAGGUUAUGACAAUGGUUCUAACAUGCAGGGAAAAAAUCAAGGUGUUCAGAAUCGCUUGCUUGAAGUUAAUCCCAAAGCAUUAUAUAUGCCAUGUGCAUGUCAUAGUUUGAAUCUCACUCUUUGUGAUAUGGCAAAAUCUUGCGAACAUGCCAUUUCAUUCUUCGGUAUUAUCCAGCGUAUAUAUGUACUGUUUGCACGUUCUACUAAAAGGUGGAAGAUUUUGCUUGAUAAUGUUCCAGGUCUGACUCUCAAACCUUUGUUUGAUACUCGUUGGGAGAGCCGAAUAAAGAGUGUGCAACCUAUAAGGUACCAAACUUCCCAAGUAAGAUCAGCUUUGAAGGAGUUGGAGAAGACUGCUAGGGAGGAUAAUGAUCCAGCUACAGUAAGUGAUGCUCAAUCUUUGUUCAAAGCACUUGGGCAAUUUGAGACUUUAGUUGGUAUGAUUAUUUGGCAUGACAUACUAUUUUCUAUUAAUAUGGUGAGCAAAAUGUUACAAGAAAAAAUGGUGUGCAUCGAUGCUACUCUAAAACACAUUGAUGGGGUCAAGUCAUAUUUUCAGAAGUAUAGAGAUGAAGGCUUCAAUUCUAGUAUUGAAAGUGCCAAAGCCAUUGCGUUGGAUAUGGGCAUAGAGCCCCAAUUUCGUACAAAACGUAAAAGUAGAAGGAAGAAGCAUUUUGAUGAAAUCAGUGAUGAAGAUGAAGAUCUACAACUGUCAGCUAUUGAAUCCUUCAGAGUUACAUACUUUCUUGUCAUUGUUGACACCGCAAUUGCUUCAUUGUCUAGUCGAUUUGAUCAGCUGAAGGCAUUUGAAGAUUUGUUUGGUUUCUUAUUCAACUCAAAUAAUCUGAAGUCUUUGGAUGAAAGUAGUCUACGCAAAUCAUGCACCACUUUUGCAAAAGCUUUUACUCAUAAGAAGUCGCGAGAUGUUGAUCUUGAUGAUUUUUUCUCCGAGUUAAAAGUAUUGCAACUAACCUUGCCAGAUGCUUUGAUGUCAGCACUUGAGAUUCUUCAGUUUUGUUACCGCUGCAAAUUGCUAUCCAAAUGUAUCAGUUGCCUAUCGGAUCCUCUUGACUAUACCUGUGACUGUAGCCUCAGCUGA